UUUCAACAAAUCACUUACAAUUUAUCAAAAACAUAAAAUACAAAAUAAAAGUUAUCUAUUUUCUGUGUAAGUGAGAAUAAAGGGUUAGGCGGGUGACUUGGCAGGUCUUGGCACUCUUACAUAAUUUUGAAACGCCUAGGAUUAAUCGAGGUUGUCUUGGCGGGGAUUUUAGAACAGUGCUUACCCACCACAUUGUUGCUGCACAUAAACAAUCUAACAACUGAGUAAAACAGAAAGUGAAUUAACAUUGUAAGGUUGGUUAAACAUGCAACAUGCAUCCAACUUUCCUAACUAAAUUCAAACGCAAAUGCCUAUGAAUUUCAUCAGCAUAGAAUACUGAAACUUAUGAGCAUAGUCACUUGGAAAUUCACUUGCAGGUUGCGAUUUAAUUUCUCAAGAAUGUAACCAUUCUUGUCGACCAAGUUUUCAGUAAUCUACCUUAUAAUUUUGCCUACUUCACCGGUUUCUUGCCAACAAGUCUCUGCUCAUGCAAGUCCCUAAAAGCAAUUUGAGUGAGCAAAAACAAUCUAGGAGGGCAGAUACAACCUGAGAUUCUUUCACUCGGAUCCUUGUCCUUCCUCUCCCUCAGCUACAGCCUAUUGACAAACAUCACAGGGGCGAUGAAGAUACUAAUGCGGUGCAAAAGUCUCAAGGUACCCCUCCUUUUGACAAGUUUUUAUCUAGGAGAGAAAAUUCCAAGUGAAGAAGCAAUGGCUAAUUUUAACGGGUUCCAAAACCUUCAAAUGCUGGAUUUGAGUAGGUGUCAGCUCAGGAAGCUAGGGGUCUUGAUUUUGAGUUUUAACAGAAUCACCCGGUCGAUUCCUAGUUGGUUGGGGGCUCUUCCGAGGCUCUUUGUUUUAGCAUUAGGAGGCAAUCAAAUUUUGGGUGAUUUCCAAAGAACUCUGUACACUUCCUAUGUUGUUAUCCGGAAAAUAUCCUGAGUUACAGCUAAAUUUUUCUCAAUUUGCUUCUUUUUUUAUAUGAUGCUCAAUUACUUUUUUCCCCUUCUUCCACUUGAUUAAUCAAACACAUAGGGUGAAGACUAACAAGCAACCACUCUUCAAUGUUCCAGUUAAAGCUCGCUGCCCAGAAGACAAAGAAAUAUUACCGUGCACGGAUUGAGCCAGAAAUUCUCGAGUGCAAAAUAUCUACUUAAGAGUAGGAUGUGCAUUCCCUAACCUCUUUUUUAUUUAUUUUCUCCCUUUGUUUAGACCAAAAUUAUGACCAAACUAUCAAUCAUCAGCUAAAAUACGAAGUUUGAUAACAUAAUAUAUCAGACGAUUUUACACGUGACUAAAGCCUAAGAGUAUACACCAUAUAUGUUUAACCACAAAAAGCUAUGUCACAUAACAAAUCAAACCAUCCGCGAAAUUCCCCUGGAUUUUCAUAAACUUGCGCAAUCAGUUUGGUUAAAAAGAUAAUUGAAACUAAGAAAAGGGUCCUGAUUGAAUUUGAUACUAAACAUAAAUAAAAAUAAAAAAAACCUUGUGUAAGUUGGGUUUUCACUUACUUCUUCUAGUUUGCACGGGUUGACGGUCGGAAGUUGUUGAACGAAUCCCAACACGAACAGAAGCCGAAAAUUGUAGAGCUCCAGCUUUCGCAAGAGGAGGGCGGUUCAAGAAAUGAGUUACAGUGCACCUACUCCUGCAAAUUGGCCAUUGUUGGAAACAUGAAAACAAUCUGGAAAUCUGGAAAAAAAAAAAAGAGGCAAAAGAACACGGUUCAGGAAUUUCAUCAAACAGUUUACGUGCAAUCUCUUUUCAGAAAGUUUAAGAUUGCAAUUGUCUUGUAAGCGUAAGAUAGCACAUUAAGGAAGAAACAUGUAAAUGCAGCUUCAUCGUCUACAAAACACGCAUGCAACGUAACAGUUUUUUCUGUUGAAAUUUUUGGCAAACAAAUGUCUGGGACUACACUUCGAGGUUAUGUCGAAAGAGCUUUUCUUCGGGAAGGUUUAUUUUUUUUGAAAGAGAUCAUCUCCGGACUUUUCAAAUUUCAUCCAACGAUCCAUCUGUUUUGAUCUUUUAAAAUCUAUAAUAAAUUUUGGCCGUUGAAUAAAAUUUGAAAGGUUCGGAUUAUUUGAUCCGGUGACCUUAGUGAAAGAAAUCCAAAAAGGAUCUCUUUCCUAGUUUUUUAAUGAGGUCUAAUGCAAUAGGUCUAGCUCACAAUGAGCUAGAGAGACUUUGGCUCCGUUUGUGUUCACCUUUUUAGCUAGGAUUGAAUUAGCUUCAAAGGUUAAACUGAAUUUAGCUUGACUUAGAUUAAGAAGUAUUGGAAUAUGAAGCCUUU
rnacentral:lncRNA from 1 species